rnacentral:other from 1 species
UUCCCUGCGUAGUGCGUGUAGAUUGGAAUUUUAGAACCAACAAACGAUAAACGGGAGUCUGCCUUUGGGUGUGGCGUGUACGCUUGCAUUUAUGUAAGAAACCCAUGAGCAUUCAACAAGACACCCACCUGUGAAAGCAGGUCCUUAAAAUUUCACUUGGACUUACGGCUAAUGUGGGGUUU